rnacentral:rRNA from 1 species
AGAGUUUGAUCAUGGCUCAGAACGAACGCUGGCGGCGUGGAUUAGGCAUGCAAGUCGAACGCGAAAGAGGGGGAAACUCCUCGAGUAGAGUGGCGAACGGGUGAGUAACGCGUGAAGAACCUGCCUUCAACAGGGGGAUAACACUCCCAACGGGGUGCUAAUACCGCAUGAGACCACGGAGCUGCAUGGCUCUGAGGUCAAAGGUGGCCUCUAUUUAUAAGCUACCGGUUGAAGAUGGCUUCGCGUCCCAUUAGCUAGUUGGCGGUGUAACGGACCACCAAGGCGACGAUGGGUAGCUGGUCUGAGAGGAUGGUCAGCCACACUGGGACUGAGAUACGGCCCAGACUCCUACGGGAGGCAGCAGUCGAGAGGCUUCGGCAAUGGGGGAAACCCUGACCGAGCGACGCCGCGUGGAGGAUGAAGGCCCUUGGGUUGUAAACUCCUUUUGUUGGGGAAGAAACACGAUCAGGUGAACAAUCUGGUCGUUUGACGGUACCCGACGAAUAAGCUCCGGCUAACUCCGUGCCAGCAGCCGCGGUAACACGGGGGGAGCAAGCGUUGUUCGGAAUCACUGGGCGUAAAGGGCGUGUAGGCGGUCAGGUAAGUGGGAUGUGAAAUCCCUCGGCUCACCCGAGGACCUGCAUCUCAAACUGCCUGGCUUGAGUAUGGGAGAGGAUGAGGGAAUUCCUGGUGUAGCGGUGAAAUGCGUAGAUAUCAGGAGGAACACCGGUGGCGAAGGCGCUCAUCUGGCCCAAUACUGACGCUGAGGCGCGAAAGCUAGGGGAGCAAACGGAAUUAGAUACCCCGGUAGUCC